CGGGAAACUCGCCUUAAGAUGAGAUAUCCCUGGGGACUAGAUCCCCUUGAAGGGUCGUUCGAGACCAGGACGUUGAUAGGUCAGGUGUGUAAGCGCAGUAAUGCGUUCAGCUAACUGAUACUAAUUGCCCGUAAGGCUUGAUCCUAUAACA
rnacentral:rRNA from 1 species